ACACGUGGGUAACCUGCCUGUAAGACUGGGAUAACUCCGGGAAACCGGGGCUAAUACCGGAUGCUUGAUUGAACCGCAUGGUUCAAUCAUAAAAGGUGGCUUUUAGCUACCACUUACAGAUGGACCCGCGGCGCAUUAGCUAGUUGGUGAGGUAACGGCUCACCAAGGCGACGAUGCGUAGCCGACCUGAGAGGGUGAUCGGCCACACUGGGACUGAAACACGGCCCAGACUCCUACGGGAGGCAGCAGUAGGGAAUCUUCCGCAAUGGACGAAAGUCUGACGGAACAACGCCGCGUGAGUGAUGAAGGUUUUCGGAUCGUAAAACUCUGUUGUUAGGGAAGAACAAGUACCGUUCGAAUAGGGCGGUACCUUGACGGUACCUAACCAGAAAGCCACGGCUAACUACGUGCCAGCAGCCGCGGUAAUACGUAGGUGGCAAGCGUUGUCCGGAAUUAUUGGGCGUAAAGCGCGCGCAGGCGGUUUCUUAAGUCUGAUGUGAAAGCCCCCGGCUCAACCGGGGAGGGUCAUUGGAAACUGGGGAACUUGAGUGCAGAAGAGGAGAGUGGAAUUCCACGUGUAGCGGUGAAAUGCGUAGAGAUGUGGAGGAACACCAGUGGCGAAGGCGACUCUCUGGUCUGUAACUGACGCUGAAGCGCGAAAGCGUGGGGAGCGAACAGGAUUAGAUACCCUGGUAGUCCACGCCGUAAACGAUGAGUGCUAAGUGUUAGAGGGUUUCCGCCCUUUAGUGCUGCAGCAAACGCAUUAAGCACUCCGCCUGGGGAGUACGGUCGCAAGACUGAAACUCAAAGGAAUUGACGGGGGCCCGCACAAGCGGUGGAGCAUGUGGUUUAAUUCGAAGCAACGCGAAGAACCUUACCAGGUCUUGACAUCCUCUGACAACCCUAGAGAUAGGGCUUCCCCUUCGGGGGCAGAGUGACAGGUGGUGCAUGGUUGUCGUCAGCUCGUGUCGUGAGAUGUUGGGUUAAGUCCCGCAACGAGCGCAACCCUUGAUCUUAGUUGCCAGCAUUCAGUUGGGCACUCUAAGGUGACUGCCGGUGACAAACCGGAGGAAGGUGGGGAUGACGUCAAAUCAUCAUGCCCCUUAUGACCUGGGCUACACACGUGCUACAAUGGGCAGAACAAAGGGCAGCGAAGCCGCGAGGCUAAGCCAAUCCCACAAAUCUGUUCUCAGUUCGGAUCGCAGUCUGCAACUCGACUGCGUGAAGCUGGAAUCGCUAGUAAUCGCGGAUCAGCAUGCCGCGGUGAAUACGUUCCCGGGCCUUGUACACACCGCCCGUCA
rnacentral:rRNA from 1 species